ACGGAGGAUGCGAGCGUUAUCCGGAUUCAUUGGGUUUAAAGGGUGCGUAGGCGGCUUUUUAAGUCAGUGGUGAAAUCUUGCCGCUUAACGGUAAAAUUGCCAUUGAUACUGAUAAGCUUGAGUACAAUUGAGGUAAGCGGAAUGUGUAGUGUAGCGGUGAAAUGCUUAGAUAUUACACAGAACACCGAUUGCGAAGGCAGCUUACUAAACUGUCACUGACGCUGAUGCACGAAAGCGUGGGGAGCGAACAG
rnacentral:rRNA from 1 species